AACACAUGAGGAUGAGUAAUAAUAAUAAUCUGUUAUAAUAAUGUUUAGAAACUUUUUAUUAGAGAAUCCAACAGUUCAGCAAUCAUUAUGCAUAGCUUUUAUGAUUCCUCAUUAUAAUCAUAAAGAAGAAACAAACACAAAUAACAAUACCUCAUUAUAAUCAUAUACCUCAAUAGAAUCAAUACCUUAUUAUAAUUCCAGUAAGGACUUUGGUGUUCUUCCAAAACUGUCUAGAAGUAAGCUUUGGGAGUGCGGAAAUAAUUGAGAAAACGCUUUUUGAUAAACUGGACUGCUUCCCUAAAAUCAACAGCAAAGAACCCCAAAAGCUAAGAGAACUUGCAGAUCUGCUCAAAGAAGUGGAGUCAGCGAAGCUUGGAGGCUACCUACCCGGGCUCUCUUUCUUAGACACAGCGCGGGGCGUGGCACCUAUUGUCAACAAACUUCCUCCUAGCCUCCAAGAGAAGUGGAUGUCCCAAGGGUCUCAAUACAAGCUUCAGUUCCAGUGUAUGGUGUAGGUGAAAAUCCGGGGCAAUGGAUGAAACGGUGGAUGAUCAGCCUGGAAGGCUGCAUAAUCUGCGAGGGUGUGCAGCCAACUUUUCUCACUGGACUUGCUGCAUUGUUCUCUCUGUAUUAUAUCUUUAAUUUGCAGUACCAGGAGGAAGCAGCAUCCACACUGGAAUUCCUUCAAAGUGAACUCAGUGCAGGAUUCCUUGUUUACAUCCGAAUGCCAACACAGUAUUGGCCGAAGCUGAACACGUGAGCAGACAUACAUGCAUGUGAUGUUUACACAGGAAAAAUAUCUUAAUUUGUGUUCCGAAGAUGAACAAAGGUCUUACGGACGUUUUGUUGGAAUAAAUCCGGAAAAGGGGACCAAGGCUGCACGGGGAAAAGUUACAUCCAAAAAAACUGGGAAAAAAGUGCAAAAGAAAACCAUAACUGUCAACACCAAAGUGUCAAACCUCUUAAAGAGACUUAUGGACUUUGAGUGGGACUUCAUUUAAAAAGUGUAGUUGACACACCCCACACCCAUGCAGGUUGGUUUCUGAAAAAUAUGCUGGCCUGGUGAGUUAUACUUUGUUUUACCAAGUUAUUUAGGUAUUAAAAAUGCUGAUGCUUUGUUAAAGCCUGUUUGAGUGUUUAUUUAUUUAUUUAUUUUAAUAAUUGGUUUGUUUCAGUGCAAUUGUUUUUUUGGAGUAAUGUUUGGUGAAGCCUGAUUCGAUUUGUAUUUUAUAUACAGGUAGAUUGUCUAUAUAUUGUUUGUUUUUGUUUGUAUGUUUGCUUUUUCAUUAGCCAUUUUUGUAUUUUGAUAUGUUGAUGGGUGUUUAUUUUUAUAUGCACCGAAUAUUACUUGAAUACUUUUACAUUUUUAUCGGAAUAAAAAAAACACUAACUUGGCUUUAUUCCUUUUUGUUACCCAUAGACAAAUAUAAAAUGCUGAGUUAUUAUAGCAUUUAAAAUUUGAAUGAUUUGGUUGUGACUAGUAUAUCAUUUAACAGCUAUCAAUGUAAAAGAA